GACGAACGCUGGCGGCGUGCUUAACACAUGCAAGUCGAACGGAAAGGCCCUGCUUUUGUGGGGUGCUCGAGUGGCGAACGGGUGAGAAACACGUGAGUAACCUGCCCUUGACUUUGGGAUAACUUCAGGAAACUGGGGCUAAUACCGGAUAGGAGCUCCUGCUGCAUGGUGGGGGUUGGAAAGUUUCGGCGGUUGGGGAUGGACUCGCGGCUUAUCAGCUUGUUGGUGGGGUAGUGUCUUACCAAGGCUUUGACGGGUAGCCGGCCUGAGAGGGUGACCGGCCACAUUGGGACUGAGAUACGGCCCAGACUCCUACGGGAGGCAGCAGUGGGGAAUAGUGCACAAUGGGCGGAAGCCUGAUGCAGCAACGCCGCGUGCGGGAUGACGGCAUUCGGGUUGUAAACCGCUUUCGCCUGUGACGAAGCGUGAGUGACGGUAAUGGGUAAAGAAGCACCGGCUAACUACGUG
rnacentral:rRNA from 1 species